CUCCUCUAUAUACUGUCUAUAUGCUAUCUUCCAUUCAAAAGCUAAAGGCAUUGAUUGUUAUCUAAAGAGAUUCUUCUGAUUAUACUCCAUUGUUUAUAUGAUCAAGUUUUUUUGUAAGUGGGUAUUCAUUUUUUCUCUAGGUUACUGUAUUUUCUCCCUUUCAUCCAUGUGAUCGACCCAAUACUCCAGCUUGAGCUACAAGCCAAGUUUCUGUGAUUUGUCCUGCAAUUGCUCAAGUUAUAAAGCGGUGUUGUUAGAUAUAUAGAUACAAUGUAUAUCUGUGGAUGUACAAGCGGUGGGCUGAAGACCAAGGUGAAGAAUCUUACAGAGAGACCCAUUGAUUUGCAGAUCAGAGUGGGAUCUAUUCUGAAGAAGGUAUACACUGUUAAACCAGGCAGAGGUAAAACUCUUGACUGCAGUAAUAUAUACAAUGUGUAUGCACCAAGAGGGCACAGUGCUUUCUACUACGAUGAGACAUGCCAGCCAUAUGUCUGGAUCCAUAAUUCCAAUGAGUUUUCAAGGAUGGUGAAGCAGCAGUACAUCAGCCUGGAGGAUUUAAGAGACCACUCUGAGAUCAAGAUUUACAGAGACCCCAAGAAGGGCACCUUUGCUGUCUACAAGAAACCUAGGUCAGAAAUUUGUUAAGUACAUUAUUAAGUACUAUUGUCCUUAAUCUCGAAUGGGAUUCUUUUUAGUUUUUAUUUUUAGUUUCAAACUUGUGAAAAUUACAGAGAUUUGUUGUUACUGUCUACAAUCAUCCACAAGAUGUUUGUUAUACAUGUAUACCCCACCAAACUGUUGGCAAUGUGUUGUUUUUCUUUUUGCUUCCACAUGAAGUAGGGGAAUAGGGAAUGGUAGUUUCAGAAGCUUUUGGUGACCUUUGGGUGGGGACCUGGUUAGGUAAGGUGACCUUUCAAUAAUACCAUUAUUUGUAAGUAAGUUGUUAUGAAUAAUUAUGUCUAAUUUAUUAUGUUUUAUUCUAUUUA